rnacentral:rRNA from 1 species
AUUGAACGCUGGCGGCAGGCCUAACACAUGCAAGUCGGGCGAGCGGCGGACGGGUGAGUAAUGUAUGGGGAUCUGCCUGAUGGCGGGGGAUAACUACUGGAAACGGUAGCUAAUAACGCAUACCAUAAGAUGCACCCAAAUUGGAUUAGCUAGUAGGUGGGGUAACGGCUUACCAAGGCGACGAUCCCUAGCUGGUCUGAGAGGGUGAUGAGCCCCUCGUGGACGUAGACACUGUACCGACUCCUACGGGAGGCAGCAGUGGAGAAACUUGCACAAUGGGCGAAAGCCUGAGGCAGCCAUGCAGGGUUUAUGAAGAAGGUCUUCGGGUUGUAAAGUACUUUCAGUCAGGAGGCGUUAAUGACAGAAGAAGCACCGGCUAACUCCGUGCCAGCAGCCGCGGUAAUAC